rnacentral:rRNA from 1 species
UACGUAGGGGGCUAGCGUUGUCCGGAAUCAUUGGGCGUAAAGAGCGUGUAGGCGGCCCGGUAAGUCCGCUGUGAAAGUCGGGGGCUCAACCCUCGAAAGCCGGUGGAUACUGUCGGGCUAGAGUGCGGAAGAGGCGAGUGGAAUUCCUGGUGUAGCGGUGAAAUGCGCAGAUAUCAGGAGGAACGCCGAUUGCGAAGGCAGCUCGCUGGGACGUAACUGACGCUGAGACGCGAAAGCAUGGGGAGCAAACAGG